AGUUAAUGAACUUGUAAAUAAGUAUAUAUUUUGAAAAUAUAAGAAAGAGUAAACCCUCUAUUAACUU
rnacentral:tRNA from 2 species